CUGGAGGCUGCCAUGCAAAUCUGACGUUUCAAUCCCCGUGAGCCUCCGAGGCUGGGUAAGGGGUGGAGUCUGCGGAAGCAAAGCUUCAACGCCAAGUGACGUCAUGGCGGCGCCCAUUCAUACUCUUGGCGGAAGAGGUGGGCUGCAGCGACGGAGGUUUUUGAUCCUGGGACGGAACGACUGAGAUCACUGCUGCAAGUCCGGCUCUUUGAUGCGUUUCUGUUGAGACUGUUGUUUGCAUUUUCCUUCAGGCAUUCUUGUUACAUUCUUAGCUGUCCAACUAGAUGGCCUAGGAUUGCCCAAGGAAAGCAUGGUCUGGGGAGGUAUUAUCUGUUGCUUGUAAACCGCCUUGAGAAUCAUUUGGCUGGAGCUCCAUUAUAAAAUAAGUUAGGAAGAGAGAUGGAGUGAUAUUUGACUAAAUCAAAUCUUGAAUAGACCCAAUGAAAUCAAUGGACUUUCAGUGGAUCUGCUUGCUUCUUCCAAAUACCAUCCUCCAAAGUCAACAUGCAGGGGAGAAUCCCAAAUAUGUUUGGGGCUGAGAACGUUUUUUGCGCCAUGGCCAGAUCUUUAUCUCCAUCCACCCACCCAUGUGGGCCAACUUUCAUAAUGACAUCAGGUGAUUGACAGGCAGCAACAGCAUCACUGAGGGAUGGAGGAUCAAUAUUGUGUGGUCUCCACAAUCAGAACCAGCAGGAUAUAGCUGACUUCUCUUGGGAAAAGCUCAAGGCAGCUAGGUACCAUGUUUGAACUGUAUUCAGGCAGACCAGGCACUUUGGUUGGCUUCAGUUCCUUUUUGCGGACACACAAUGCAUUGCACCAAGCGGCGUUUUAAAAAGCAGCAUGACCUGUUCAAAAGCAUGGAUUUUGAUCACCUGAACUACACAAACUCCUUUCUUAUCCCGUUGCACCACCACACCACUCUGCCCUGCAAGCAUUUUUAAAAGUGGAUAUUGUGUGAAUAGAAGCAAGCAAUUACUUGCUCACUCUAUGUAGCUGCUUGUAAUCAUGGCUUGGAAACUGAUUGUCUGAAGACUUUAGCACACUGUAAAUUGAACCUUGCCGCAUACAGAAGGUAUGCAUAGGGAGCUGUAUAUUCUGUUGAAAGGGGCUGGAAAACCUGUGUGUCCAUAGCAGAAUACACAGCACUCUGGAUCCAAGCCCUCACCUUAAUUUAAAAUCUCCAAACGAAAUCUAUGUGACUUUCAUCUAUUAAAAAAAAACCAAAUUCAGGCUAUUUGAAUCUGAAUCAUAUGUUUUGAAGUUAAUAUUCACACACACACUGGUUUGACCCAGUGUGGAUUUGGUUGUUUUGUUUUGCAAUUGUUUAUGCAAACCAUUGGGAAAGAGGAAGGAACCUUGAAAAAUGUAAAUGAACUGGACUAAUAACUAACUUGAGCUUAAAUGUAACAGAUGGCUUAUUAUCAAGGAAGUUUCCUGAUCUCUUGCGAAGUCUGUACUUGUCAUGGUCUUAUCACACUGCUGUGGGUUUAUGAGGUACUGUCAAAGUUCAAAAACCAGUCUGUUUGCCACCUUGUUCAAAACUGUUUUCAAGUGGAAGAUUAAGGAACCAUAACUGCAGGAUACUGAGCUUUUCUUUCUCAGCCAGAAUGAAUGAGGCUGCACAGAGAUGGGUCUAAGGCAGGGGUGGCUUCCCUUUUUCAGGCCACAUUGACCCAUGGUCAACCCUCUGGGAUGGGGGCAUGUCAAAGUGAGCAUGGCCAAAGUGUAAAAGUGGGUAUAGUGAGAACUGAAGUUCUCAAUUCAGCCUUCCAAAAGUCUUUUCUA